UACGUAGGUGGCAAGCGUUGUCCGGAUUUAUUGGGCGUAAAGCGCGCGCAGGUGGUUCGUUGCGUCCGAGGUGAAAUCUCCCGGCUCAACUGGGAGGGGUCUUCAGAUACUGGCGGACUUGAGGAGUGCAGAGGUGAGUGGAAUUCUCGGUGUAGUGGUGAAAUGCGUAGAUAUCGAGAGGAACACCAGUGGCGAAGGCGGCUCACUGGGCACCACCUGACGCUGAGGCGCGAAAGCGUGGGGAGCGAACCGG
rnacentral:rRNA from 1 species